ensembl:lncRNA
UACUGGUGAAAGACUACAAAACAGAACAUAUAGUAUGAUCUUAUUAAAAAUAUGUAUUACUUUAAAUGGAUAUAACAAGGGCAUAGGACAGAGGCCAAGGUAAGUCUUUUACACUCCACUUCAUUGAGAACCAGUAACUGCUACUUUUGACUGUUAACAGUCAAACCAGAAGCUAUCGACCAGCUAAUCUCAUCCAUUAGUCAUCACCCCUGUAUCCCUGUCGCACAUCCAGGAGCACCUAUAGAGAAAAGCAACAGUCUUUAUUCUGUACUUGGAAAGGAAACAGCCCCCAGAGACCCUCCUUGUGAUUUCCAGAUGGCAGGAUGCCUCCUAUUAGUAGGACCUAACUGGAAGCCAACUGGAGAAAAUGCCCAGCAGAGAGCUCAGAGGUGACUAGAAGCUACUAGGAAUCACUAGAGGUGAAGAAAACAACCAGAUACCAGGACA